AAAAAUUCGAGGGAAUGGUAGGACAAGAUCAUGAUUGAGCUAUCCCUUUUUCGCUUCUGGGAUUUUUGGGUAGAUAUAACUGGCUUGUGGCAGCCUAGCGUUUAUAGCGGCGGCGCUUUUUGAACCUUCGAUGUCGGCUCCUCCUAUCAUACUGAAGUAGAAUUUAGUACGCGUUGGAUUGCUCACCUACUAAUAAGGAACAAGACUUGGAGGUUUGACCUUCCUGAUAGGUUAGUUUUACCCUCCUGAUGAGAUGUUGUUGCAAUAGUAAUUGACCUUAGUACGAGAGGAACUGUUCAUUCGGAUAAUUGGUGUUUGGGCCUGCCUGAGCAGGCAGUGACCCGAGGUUAUCGUCCGUUAUGCUAUGGCUGAACGCCUCCAAAUCAUAAUGCGUGCUAGAACGCAACUAUUACCACCUUUCUCCGAUUUUUAGUCGAACACGAAUAGACCCUCGAGUCCAAGGUCAUACUACGGGUGUAUGUUGCGGGGUGGAAAGACCGCCUAUGUUUCUGUGCAGGGCAAUUUCAAAUAUCGCAAGAGAUAAAUUCACUACAAACGACUUUAUUUGAACAAAGUAAUGAAAGCAAUAGUGUAGCCUUAUUGCUACGAUCCUGAGAUUAAGUCUAUUGUUCUCUAGAUAU
rfam:Mortierella elongata AG-77 unplaced genomic scaffold K457scaffold_142, whole genome shotgun sequence.